UACAGAGGCCUCGAGCGUUGUUCGGAAUUACUGGGCGUAAAGAGAACGUAGGUGGUGACGUAAGUCAGAUGUGAAAGCCCUGGGCUUAACCUGGGAAGUGCAUUUGAUACUGCGUUGCUGGAGUGCGAGAGAGGAAAGCGGAAUUCCAAGUGUAGGAGUGAAAUCCGUAGAUAUUUGGAGGAAUACCGAUGGCGAAGGCAGCUUUCUGGCUCGUAACUGACACUGAGGUUCGAAAGCGUGGGUAGCAAACAGG
rnacentral:rRNA from 1 species